AUCCCAUGAUGUGGGCAUUGGUAUAAGAGAGUUAAGAAUUCACCCCACACUUGGCAUAAUGUUUCUCCUUCUUUCUGUGUGAAGUUCAAGAUUUGAUUCCUGAGUU